rnacentral:rRNA from 1 species
CCUACGGGCGGCAGCAGUGAGGAAUAUUGGUCAAUGGGCGCGAGCCUGAACCAGCCAAGUCGCGUGAGGGAUGAAGGUUCUAUGGAUCGUAAACCUCUUUUAUAAGGGAGUAAAGUGUGGGACGUGUCCUAUUUUGUAUGUACCUUAUGAAUAAGGAUCGGCUAACUCCGUGCCAGCAGCCGCGGUAAUACGGAGGAUCCGAGCGUUAACCGGAUUGAUUGGGUUUAAAGGGUGCGUAGGCGGCCUUUUAAGUCAGCGGUGAAAGUCUGUGGCUCAACCAUAGAAUUGCCGUUGAAACUGGGGGGCUGGAGUAUGUGUGAGGCAGGCGGAAUGCGUGGUGUAGGGGUGAAAUGCUUAGAUAUCACGCAGAACACCGAUUGCGAAGGCAGCCUGCCAAGACAUGACUGACGCUGAUGCGCGAAAGCGUGGGGAUCAAACAGGAUUAGAUACCCGGGUAGUC